rnacentral:rRNA from 1 species
GUGUUGAGCGUCUUGUACGUCACGGCUGACGGUGAGUACGCGUGGGAACGUACCUUUUGGUUCGGAACAACACAGGGAAACUUGUGCUAAUACCGGAUAAGCCCUUACGGGGAAAGAUUUAUCGCCGAAAGAUCGGCCCGCGUCUGAUUAGCUAGUUGGUGAGGUAAUGGCUCACCAAGGCGACGAUCANUAGCUGGUCUGAGAGGAUGAUCAGCCACAUUGGGACUGAGACACGGCC